UACGGAGGAUCCGAGCGUUAUCCGGAUUUAUUGGGUUUAAAGGGUGCGUAGGCGGCUUUUUAAGUCAGCGGUGAAAUUUUGCAGCUUAACUGUAACAGUGCCGUUGAUACUGGGGAGCUAGGAUUUGGUUGCUGUGGGUGGAAUGUGUGGUGUAGCGGUGAAAUGCUUAGAGAUCACACAGAAUAUCGAUUGCGAAGGCAGCUCACAAAGCCAAGAUUGACGCUGAGGCACGAAAGUGUGGGGAUCAAACAGGAUUAGA
rnacentral:rRNA from 1 species